GGGUCAAUGAUGAAAACCUAAUGUCAUGAAGAGAGGUGAUGACAUAAAUAUCAUACUCAAUGGGAAUACGGUGAGGCCC